CUUUCCUCGAACCCUCUUUCCUUAACCUUCUUCGCUUUUCUCUCUUCUCUGAGCUUCUUCCCCAUCUUUACUCCUCCUUAUGCUUUUCCUUCAAUUCGACGUGAACUUCUUGAUCCCUCCUUCGAGCUUUUUCUUUGCUUUCAUUAGUGCGUGCUUGUGGCUUUUCCCCUUCGUCUUGAACGCUAUCUUCCUUUCAGGUUUGCUCUCAUCUUUCAGAUUUCGUCUUCCUCGAGCUUCCUCUUUCCACUCGAGAGCUCCUCAUUCACAAGCCAUUUCUCUUCACACAAUCUUUUCUUCUUUCAUAUUUAGCUUUUCCAUAGCCUUUGCAACCAUAGAACGUUUGUUCUACCGAUUCAUUAGUCGAUCUACAUCUCUCGUUAGGGCUCCAACCUCUUUUCACCAUUUUCUUCAUUUUCAACCGAUUAAAUCCUCUUUUCUAUCGAUUAAAAGCCUUUCCACCGAUUGAUUCUUUGAUUACCAUCAUUUACACCGAUUAAUCGAUCCAUUUUAGGUUUCCUUCGUCAACCUAGGGUUUUAGGGUUCUUCGCGUCGAAUCCUCUCCGUUUUUGGAGUAUUCCUGGAUUCUCAGGGUUUGUUUUCGUUCUCCACUGAUUCGGCUCUUGGUCUCGAGUUCUCUUGCCAAUUUACAUCAUUCCGCUGCGUUUCUUCAUCGGAGGUGCCUCAUUACAGUUUAAAUCGCGCCUUCAGGCCUUCAUACAAUGAUAUUUGUAUUACCGAUGUUGCGUUUAGGGAGGAUUCAGAGGGCUUUUAAGAUGAGAUCAGCAGAUGAAGGACAAACUACUUUCUAUACAUGUACCCGUUGUGGUCAUCAAUCUCAGGAGAAUUAGUUGUUUACUUUAAGGCUAUCUUUGGAAGGAAUGUACAGGAAAAAUAGAAUGAUCUUUAAGGUUAUUUUGUUCUGAGCACCUGACCCCACUAAGAUUGUUAUCUGGAACUUGGUUAUUAAUUAAUAAGCCAUUUUACCUUAAAUUUCUUUUCUAUAUCAGCUAUAAAUAAUUAAGACUACCUGGAGAAAUGGCGUAGCAAUGCAACCCAAGUAGGCUAGAUUCAACAUAAAAAUUGGGUUGUCUACUCUGUCGAACAUGAAGGUUUUUUGUGGCUUGUAAUAAAAAAGUAGCUUUAGUGUGUAGCCUUACUUUAUGAAAUCAAAUUGUGUAAAAUAUGAAUUACCAAGAAAAUUAUCCUCUGAUUUGGUUUCAAGAAGAGGAGAAAAACUGUGAAUAAUAUAUCAUUCAAAGCAGAAUUAUAUCUGUUAGUUUGUACAUUCCCUACCUUUAGGUGAUACUAAAAGUUCAUAUAUUUGCAGGAUGGUAAGACCUUACGCAAUGGACCUGUUAUUUCUCCUGACAGAUUUUAUUGAGAAGGAUUGUAAUUGAGAUGCUUGAAGUGAAAAUUAGAGAAUUUGUGUGCAAUUUCAACAAUGUAUUGGAAGAGAUAUCAUUAUCCAAACAAAAUCUUUCCACGCCUCUUGAUUGUAUGAAAAAUCGUAAAUUUGAUAUUGGUUUAGUGAUAGAGAGAAUCCAAGAUUUAAUAUCAGAAGAGGAUAAGAGGUUGAUCUAUCUUGGAGAUGGAAGUGGAGACUAUUGUCCAAGUUUGAGGUUGAAAGAGAAGGACUUUAUGAUGCCAAGGAAGAACUUUGCAUUGUGGGAUCUGAUAUGCAGAGAUCCUUCACUUCUUAAGGCUGACAUUCAUGAUUGGAGUGAUGGAGAAGAACUUGGAGAUGGAAGUGGAGACUAUUCUCCCUUCAUUUCCUCUUAUUGCAAGCUUCAGACUCUGUCAGUCACUCUGCUCAUGAGGCUUUGCCCAAAGCUCUACCAGUUCGACCAUAGUUUCAUAGUUUUGUAACUUUUGCAAUGGACCAAAGUAGAAUAUAACAUGACUAAUUUUUGUCUCAAUAGUAUAAUAGUAUAUAUUGCAUAGUCAGUUACCUCUGCCGUAAUUUCUGUAAUAUCCUAUAACAAUCUAGUUACAAUGAGGUAGGACCAUCCAGUUGUAAACAUCACGUUUUAAUAAAAAUUGAGAUAUAUUUGGUAUUAUUUUUUAUAA